rnacentral:rRNA from 1 species
AAGGCCCUACGGGAGGCAGCAGUGGGGAAUAUUGGGCAAUGGGCGCAAGCCUGACCCAGCAACGCCGCGUGAAGGAAGAAGGCUUUCGGGUUGUAAACUUCUUUUCUCAGGGACGAAGCAAGUGACGGUACCUGAGGAAUAAGCCACGGCUAACUACGUGCCAGCAGCCGCGGUAAUCCGUAGGUGGCAAGCGUUAUCCGGAUUUACUGGGUGUAAAGGGCGUGUAGGCGGGGACGCAAGUCAGAUGUGAAAAACACGGGCUCAAUCUGUGGCCUGCGUUUGAAACUGUGUUUCUUGAGUACUGG